rnacentral:rRNA from 1 species
GCCUACGGGGGGCAGCAGUGGGGAAUAUUGGGCAAUGGAGGCAACUCUGACCCAGCAAUGCCGCGUGAGUGAUGAAGGUAAUUUUAUUGUAAAGCUCUUUUCUUUGGAACGAAUAAAUGACGGUACCAAAGGAAUAAGCCCCGGCUAACUACGUGCCAGCAGCCGCGGUAAUACGUAGGGGGCAAGCGUUGUUCGGAAUGACUGGGCGUAAAGGGUGUGUAGGUGGUUUGAUAAGUUAGAUGUGUAAUACCCAGGGCUUAACUCGGGUGCUGCAUCUAAAACUGUUAGACUUGAGUACUGGAGAG